UGGGGAAUAUUGCACAAUGGGCGAAAGCCUGAUGCAGAGACGCCGCGUGAGGGAUGACGGCCUUCGGGUUGUAAACCUCUUUCAGUAGGGACGAAGCGCAAGUGACGGUACCUGCAGAAGAAGCACCGGCUAACUACGUGCCAGCAGCCGCGGUAAUACGUAGGGUGCGAGCGUUGUCCGUAAUUACUGGGCGUAAAGAGCUCGUAGGCGGUUUGUCACGUCGUCUGUGAAAUCCUAGGGCUUAACCCUGGACGUGCAGGCGAUACGGGCUGACUUGAGUACUACAGGGGAGACUGGAAUUUCUGGUGUAGCGGUGGAAUGCACAGAUAUCAGGAAGAACACCGAUGGCGAAGGCAGGUCUCGGGGUAGUAACUGACGCUGAGGAGCGAAAGCAUGGGUAGCGAACAGG
rnacentral:rRNA from 1 species